rnacentral:rRNA from 1 species
AGAUAUUCAAUGCUGGAAGGCUUGGAUAUCGAAAGCGCAAGCGCCAGAGGGUGAGUCUGCGGCCUAUCAGGUAGUAGGUGGUGUAACGGACCACCUAGCCUAAGACGGGUACGGGCCUUGAGAGAGGGAGCCCGGAGAUGGGUUUUGAGACACGAACCCAGGCCCUACGGGGCGCAGCAGGCGCGAAACCUUCGCACUGCGCGAAAGCGCGACGAGGGGAGCCCGAGUGCCUCUCCAUUUCGGGGAGGCUUUUCACAAGCCUAAAAAGCUUGUGGAAUAAGGGCUGGGCAAGACGGGUGCCAGCCGCCGCGGUAAUACCCGCAGCUCGAGUGGUGGUCGCUUUUAUUGAGCCUAAAACGUUCGUAGUCGGCCUUGUAAAUCCCUGGGUAAAUCGGACCGCUUAACGGUUCGAAUUCCGGGGAGACUGCAAGGCUAGGGACCGGGCGAGGUCAGAGGUACUUUCGGGGUAGGAGUGAAAUCCUGUAAUCCCGAAGGGACCACCUGUGGCGAAAGCGUCUGACUUGAACGGCUCCGACGAUGAGGAACGAAGGCUAGGGGAGCAAACCGGAUUAGAUACCCGGGUAGUCCUAGCUGUAAACUCUGCCCGCUUGGUGUGGCCUGUCCUUCGGGGGCAGGCUGUGCCGGAGCGAAGGUGUUAAGCGGGCUGCUUGGGGAGUACGGCCGCAAGGUUGAAACUUAAAGGAAUUGGCGGGGGAGCACCGCAACGGGAGGAUGCGUGCGGUUUAAUGGAUCAACGCCGG